UACAGAGGGUGCGAGCGUUGUCCGGAAUCACUGGGCGUAAAGGGCGCGUAGGUGGCGACCCAAGUCGAUGGUGAAAGCUCGCCGCUCAACGGCGAGUCGGCCACCGAUACUGGGUUGCUCGAGCACUGUAGAGGCUAAUGGAAUUCCGGGUGUAGCGGUGGAGUGCGUAGAGAUCCGGAAGAACACCGGUGGCGAAGGCGGUUAGCUGGGCAGUUGCUGACACUGAGGCGCGACAGCGUGGGGAGCAAACAGG
rnacentral:rRNA from 1 species